AUGUGUCCAAAUUUUUUUAAGAUUAAUUCACCAUUUUUUUUGUAAUUUUUCUAUGUAUUUUCAAAGAAAAAAGAACUAAAAAUAACAUUUAAAGACCUAAAUGAUAUGAUUUGAAAAAAUUGGGAACCUAGUUGAUACAAAAUCAACUUUUGAGACUUAAAUAUUACAAAGUGUAAAGAAUGAUAAUUGCAGCUGAAAAAAAAAACCCUUUAAACAAAAUUUAAAGUAUUUCCUCUUCCUCUUAUGUUCAUCUUCUCCUCCUCUUUGUCCAAUCCGACGCUGCCAGAUCCAAGCCCUAAAGUUCGCCCGAUGCAGAUCUGACCCUCUUCCAGCUUGCCCAAGUCCGCCCAAUGCUAGAUGUGCUCGCUUCACCCAUCCAUUUCUGAAGUCUAAGUCGUCUUCUUCUUCUUGUCUCCUCCAUGUUUAUUUUUUGCAAGUACCUUGCCAAGACGGAGGCAUGGCUAUCAUAAGAGGUCAGAAAAGAAGAUAUGAGGUCACCAUCUGUGGUCGGAGACGAUGAUAUGAGACAACCAUGAGUGGUCUGAGACGGAGAUCUGAAGUCGUGACAUGGAUGAAAUGGUUGAUGGGGUUUGAUUCGCCGAAAAGGCCUAUUGUAAGGGGGUUGUGUCGAUUGAGGACAACUGGAGUUCUUGGUUCCAAUUGUGACAAGGAGGAAGGCCUUUGACAAUAGUUGUGAGAUUCUCAUCUUGAGGUUGUCCGAUUGCCUGAUCAAGAGAUGAAAGUGAUCGAAAUCGAAAUGGUGCAUACACGAAAACUCCCCGACUCAAACGUCAUCGUCAAAUAUUAUAGUAAUCAUUUUAUUUUACUUUAUUGGUUUUUUUUUCGUGAUAUAUUUAGUAUAUUUAUAUAUGCAUGUAAAAUAAUGAGUGGAGAUAUAAAUAACAGUUGCUGUA